UUUUUAGUAUAAAUAUUUCCCAUGCGAUAUUUGGGAUAUACUUAUACUAAAA
rfam:Equus caballus chromosome 27, whole genome shotgun sequence.